GCUUGGCUGGCUCAAUCAGUAGAGCAUGUGACUCUUGAUCUCAGAGUUGUGAGUUCAAAACCCACGAUAGGUG
rnacentral:tRNA from 1 species